GAUGAAGAACGUAGUGAAAUGCGAUAAGUAGUGUGAAUUGCAGAAUUCAGUGAAUCAUCGAAUCUUUGAACGCACAUUGCGCCCUUUGGUAUUCCUUAGGGCAUGCCUGUUCGAGCGUCAUUUACACCUUCAAGCCCUGCUUGGUGUUGGGUGCCUGUCCCGCCCCGCGCGUGGACUCACCUCAAAUCCAUUGGCGGCCUCCGCAUGGCCACGAGCGCAGCAGAAACGCAAACUCGUGUGCCGGACCGGGCGGCUCCCAGAAGCUACAUUCACCAUUUUGACCUCGGAUCAGGUAGGGAUACCCGCUGAACUUAAGCAUAUCAAUAAGCGGAGGA
rnacentral:misc_RNA from 1 species